rnacentral:rRNA from 1 species
UACAGAGGGGGCAAGCGUUGUUCGGAAUUACUGGGCGUAAAGGGCGCGUAGGCGGCCUGCUAAGUCGAACGUGAAAUCCCCGGGCUCAACCCGGGAACUGCGUCCGAUACUGGCAGGCUUGAAUUCGGGAGAGGGAUGCGGAAUUCCAGGUGUAGCGGUGAAAUGCGUAGAUAUCUGGAGGAACACCGGUGGCGAAGGCGGCAUCCUGGACCGAAAUUGACGCUGAGGCGCGAAAGCGUGGGGAGCAAACGGGG